rnacentral:misc_RNA from 1 species
GAUGAAGAACGUAGUGAAAUGCGAUACGUAAUGUGAAUUGCAGAAUUCAGUGAAUCAUCGAAUCUUUGAACGCACAUUGCGCCCGCCAGUAUUCUGGCGGGCAUGCCUGUUCGAGCGUCAUUUCAACCCUCAAGCCCUCGGGUUUGGUGUUGGGGAUCGGCGAGCCUUUCUGGCAAGCCGGCCCCGAAAUCUAGUGGCGGUCUCGCUGCAGCCUCCAUUGCGUAGUAGUAAAACCCUCGCAACUGGAACGCGGCGCGGCCAAGCCGUUAAACCCCCAACUUCUGAAUGUUGACCUCGGAUCAGGUAGGAAUACCCGCUGAACUUAAGCAUAUCAAUAAGCGGAGGA